rnacentral:rRNA from 1 species
UGGGCGUAAGGGCUCGCAGGCGGUUUCUUAAGUCUGAUGUGAAAGCCCCCGGCUCAACCGGGGAGGGUCAUUGGAAACUGGGGAACUUGAGUGCAGAAGAGGAGAGUGGAAUUCCACGUGUAGCGGUGAAAUGCGUAGAGAUGUGGAGGAACACCAGUGGCGAAGGCGACUCUCUGGUCUGUAACUGACGCUGAGGAGCGAAAGCGUGGGGAGCGAACAGGAUUAGAUACCCUGGUAGUCCACGCCGUAAACGAUGAGUGCUAAGUGUUAGGGGGUUUCCGCCCCUUAGUGCUGCAGCUAACGCAUUAAGCACUCCGCCUGGGGAGUACGGUCGCAAGACUGAAACUCAAAGGAAUUGACGGGGGCCCGCACAAGCGGUGGAGCAUGUGGUUUAAUUCGAAGCAACGCGAAGAACCUUACCAGGUCUUGACGUCCUCUGACAAUCCUAGAGAUAGGACGUCCCCUUCGGGGGCACAGUGACAGGUGGUGCAUGGUUGUCGUCAGCUCGUGUCGUGAGAUGUUGCGUUAAGUCCCGCAACGAGCGCAACCCUUGAUCUU